ACGUAGGGUGCAAGCGUUAAUCGGAAUUACUGGGCGUAAAGCGUGCGCAGGCGGUUAUGUAAGACAGGCGUGAAAUCCCCGGGCUCAACCUGGGAAUUGCGCUUGUGACUGCAUAACUAGAGUACGGCAGAGGGGGAUGGAAUUCCGCGUGUAGCAGUGAAAUGCGUAGAUAUGCGGAGGAACACCGAUGGCGAAGGCAGUCCCCUGGGCCUGUACUGACGCUCAUGCACGAAAGCGUGGGGAGCAAACAGG
rnacentral:rRNA from 1 species